rnacentral:misc_RNA from 1 species
GUGAAUCAUCGAAUCUUUGAACGCACAUUGCGCCCCGUGGUAUUCCGCGGGGCAUGCCUGUUCGAGCGUCAUUACACCCCUCAAGCGCGGCUUGGUGUUGGGCAUGGCCCGCGUGGCCGGCCCCAAAGACAGUGGCGGCGCCGCCUGGCCCUGAGCGCAGUACCGUCUCUCGCUCCAGGGCCCGGUGGGCGGCCUACCAGAACCCCAACUCAGUGGUUGACCUCGGAUCAGGCAGGGCUACCCGCUGAACUUAAGCAUAUCAAUAAGCGGAGGA